rnacentral:tRNA from 1 species
ACUCUAAUAGUUUAUGAAAAGACAUGUGGUCUUGUAAACCAAAAAGCUGAAGACCCCACCUCUUCUUAGAGUAG